rnacentral:rRNA from 1 species
CCUACGGGAGGCAGCAGUGAGGAAUAUUGGUCAAUGGACGAGAGUCUGAACCAGCCAAGUAGCGUGAAGGAUGACUGCCCUAUGGGUUGUAAACUUCUUUUAUAUGGGAAUAAAAUGUUCCACGUGUGGGAUUUUGUAUGUACCAUAUGAAUAAGGAUCGGCUAACUCCGUGCCAGCAGCCGCGGUAAUACGGAGGAUCCGAGCGUUAUCCGGAUUUAUUGGGUUUCAAGGGAGCGUAGGUGGAUUGUUAAGUAAGUUGUGAAAGUUUGCGGCUCAACCGUAGAAUUGCAGUUGAAACUGGCAGGCUUGAGUACAGUAGAGGUGGGCGGAAUUCGUGGUGUAGCGGUGAAAUGCUUAGAUAUCACGAAGAACUCCGAUUGCGAAGGCAGCUCACUGGACUGCAACUGACACUGAGGCUCGAAAGUGUGGGUAUCAAACAGGAUUAGAUACCCGAGUAGUC